rfam:Dipodomys ordii contig_23633, whole genome shotgun sequence.
GGUGGCUCAGUGGUAGAGCGCUUGCCUUGCAUGCCUGAGGACCUGGGUUCAAUUCCCUGGCACCA